rnacentral:sRNA from 1 species
CGGCAUUUGAGAUUCGGAUAGAGCCUUUUCUGGGUUGAAACUUGGAGUAGAACUGCGAUUUCUCGAGGCUAAAUCCCAUCCACGAUAGCGACAAAACAAAUAGCAGCAACAAAAAGAAAACCGCCAUACGACGGUUUUCUUUUCUA